GGUAGAGCACUGUUUGGACGAGGGGCCCCUCUCGGGUUACCGAAUUCAGACAAACUCCGAAUGCCAAAUAAUUUAACUUGGGAGUCAGAAUGUGGGUGAUAAGGUCCAUAUUCGAAAGGGAAACAGCCCAGACCACCAGCUAAGGUCCCAAAAUAUAUGUUAAGUGGAAAAGGAUGUGGCGUUGCCCAGACAACUAGGAUGUUGGCUUAGAAGCAGCCAUCAUUUAAAGAGUGCGUAAUAGCUCACUAGUCGAGUGACACUGCGCCGAAAAUGUACCGGGGCUAAACAUAUUACCGAAGCUGUGGAUUGUCCUUUGGACAAUGGUAGGAGAGCGUUCUAAGGGCGUUGAAGCAUGAUCGCAAGGACAUGUGGAGCGCUUAGAAGUGAGAAUGCCGGUGUGAGUAGCGAAAGACGGGUGAGAAUCCCGUCCACCGAUUGACUAAGGUUUCCAGAGGAAGGCUCGUCCGCUCUGGGUUAGUCGGGUCCUAAGCUGAGGCCGACAGGCGUAGGCGAUGGAUAACAGGUUGAUAUUCCUGUACCACCAUUAUUCGUUUUAAGCGAUGGGGGGACGCAGUAGGAUAGGCG
rnacentral:rRNA from 1 species